GCGACGAGGAGAAGACGCUCUGACGCGACCGUGCGAGGAAUUUUGUCACUGAGGUCUAGAGUGACCGUGCGUGUGUUAGUGAAUGGUGAGAGGAAAGGCUGAGGGAAAGCUUUUGAAUUUUUGUCACUGACGUGGAGGGUGAGCGUGCGUGCGUUCGUGAAUGGUGAGAGGAAAGGCUGAGAGUUUGAGGGUGCAGAGUCUGAAGCUUUUGAAUUUUGUCACUCAGGGCUAGGCUUA